UACCAGCUCUCCGAGUGGUGUGGAUGUUUAUUGGGCCUAAAGCAUCCGUAGCUGGCUGGACAAGUCCCCUGUUAAAUCCACCGAUUUAAUCGUUGGUGUGCGGGGGAUACUGUUCGGCUAGGGGACGGGAGAGGCCGACGGUAUUUCCGGGGUAGGGGUGAAAUCCUAUAAUCCCGGGAAGACCACCAGUGGCGAAGGCUGUCGGCUAGAACGCGCCCGACGGUGAGGGAUGAAAGCUGGGGGAGCGAACCGGAUUAGAUACCCGGGUAGUCCCAGCUGUAAACGAUGCAGGCUAGGUGUUUGGGCGGCCACGUGCCGCUCUAGUGCCGCAAGGAAGCUGUUAAGCCUGCCGCCUGGGGAGUACGGCCGCAAGGCUGAAACUUAAAGGAAUUGGCGGGGGAGCACCACAAGGGGUGUAGCUUGCGGUUU
rnacentral:rRNA from 1 species